AUUACUAAGCGGAGGAAAAGAAACUAACUAGGACUCCCCCAGUAACGGCGAGUGAACGGGGACAAGCCCAGCACCGAAUCCCCCGCGCCAGAGGCCGGCGGGAACUGUGGUGUUUAGGAGCGUGUUUCUCCGGCGCGCGUCGAACGCCCAUGUCCUCUUGACCGUGGCCUCUUUCCCGCAGAGGGUGCAAGGCCCGUAUUGGCGUUCGGCGUCGCCGGUGUGCGUCUCCGAGGAGUCGGGUUGUUUGAGAUUGCAGCCCAAAUUUGGUGGUAGACUCCAUCUGAGGCUAAGUACGGACGCGAGACCGAUAGACGACAAGUACCGUGAGGGAAAGUUGAAAAGGACUUUGAAGAGAGAGUUCAAGAGUACGUGAAACCGCACGGAAGCAAACGGAUGGAACCGCGAAGCGCGGCGGCGGAAUUCAGUCCGGCACUACACGCGGCCGACCGAGCGUCCGCGAGAUCCGAAAGGACUCGCUGCGCUAGGGCCGACCGGUGCCGGGCGCAUUUACCGUCGCCGCGAAGUCACGACCGGUCGACGGUGCGACGAAGGCUGGCGAGAAGGUGCCCGGGCGGCGUUCGCGCCGUCCGGUGUUAUAGCUCAUCACGCCCGUCGCGCCCGUCAACCGAGGCGGAAUGCGAUCUACGCGUCAGCCGCAAGGCGCGGGUACCCGCCGCUUCUGUGCCCGUUCGCUUCGGGAGGCACUGCAUCCGCAGUGUCCCCGGCGGGCGCAGUCGACGGUUCCGGGGCUACUCCCGUUUCGACGCUGGAGGUCGGUGACGAACUCGUCGGCACCCCAUCCGACCCGUCUUGAAACACGGACCAAGGAGUCUGGCUGGCGCGCGAGUCGCUGGGUACGAGUCGAAACCCGCGGGCGCAACGAAAGUGAAGGCCGAUCCUCGAGGUCGGCUGAGGUGUAACUCGGCGUCCACUGGGCGCCGAUGCAGCACCGGCCCAUCUCAUACGCCUCGUCGUAGAGGUGGCGCACGAGCGCGUCGGCUGGGACCCGAAAGAUGGUGAACUAUGGCUGAGUAGGUCGAAGCCAGAGGAAACUCUGGUGGAAGUCCGUAGCGAUUCUGACGUGCAAAUCGAUCGUCUGACUUGGCUAUAGGGGCGAAAGACUAAUCGAACCGUCUAGUAGCUGGUUCCCUCCGAAGUUUCCCUCAGGAUAGCUGGCGCUCAUCGGAGCGGUUUUAUCCGGUAAAGCGAAUGAUUAGAGGCCUUGGGGCCGAAACGACCUCAACCUAUUCUCAAACUUUCAAUGGGUAAGAAGCCCGUCUCGCUUAAACACGAACCCGUGGAGUCGGGCAGGCGCGUCGAACGCGAGCGCCUAGUGGGCCAUUUUUGGUAAGCAGAACUGGCGCUGUGGGAUGAACCAAACGCCGGGUUAAGGCGCCCGAUGCCGACGCUCAUCGGACCCCAUAAAAGGUGUUGGUCGAUACAGACAGCAGGACGGUGGCCAUGGAAGUCGGAAUCCGCCAAGGAGUGUGUAACAACUCACCUGCCGAAUCAACUAGCCCUGAAAAUGGAUGGCGCUGGAGCGUCGAGCCCAUACCCGGCCGUCGGGGCAGAGCAGCCUGCCAGGGCCGACAGGCCCCGACGAGUAGGAGGGUCGCGGUGGUGUGCGUAGAAGGUGUCGGACGUGGGUCCGCCCGGAGCCGCCACCGGCGCAGAUCUUGGUGGUAGUAGCAAAUAUUCAAAUGAGAACUUUGAAGACUGAAGUGGAGAAGGGCUCCAUGUGAACAGCAGUUGAACAUGGGUCAGUCGAUCCUAAGGCAUAGGAGAAAUCCGUUCGGAAGUCGGGCGCACUAGCAUUCAAACGCAUGCCCGCUUGCUGGCCGAAAGGGAAUCGGGUUAAUAUUCCCGAACCCGGACGUGGAGAUCGGCCCCUCGGGGUCCAGUGCGGCGACGCAAUCGAGCUCGGAGACGCUGGCCUUGGUCCCGGGAAGAGUUGUCUUUUCUUUGUAAGGGACGGACUCCCUGGAAUCGGCUUGCCCGGAGAUAGGGACGCUGUUCCCGUAAAGCACCGCGGCUCUUGCGGUGUCCGGUGAACCGGGGUCGGCCCUUGAAAAUCCGAGGGAGACGGUGUGAUUUUCGCGCCGGAUCGUACCGAUAUCCGCAGCAGGUCUCCAAGGUGAACAGCCUCUAGUCGAUAGAACAAUGUAGGUAAGGGAAGUCGGCAAAUUGGUUCCGUAACUUCGGG
rnacentral:sRNA from 1 species